AUUCUGCUUCUAGCUCAAGCUUCCCCGGCUCCUCCACACCAGAGAGGUCCCCAGGAAUCCAGGAAGGAGAGGCAGGUUGAGAAAGAGGGAAUGAGUGGCACCAGGGCCCCGCCCCCACUGACUCACCGGAAGGGAAUGGAAACAGGGCGUGGGCUGAAGCUGCCAGGGCCCAGUCUCGCCCUCUUAGGGCCUCACCUGGCUCAGAGGGUUUCAGGAGACCACACUGUUGUCUUCAGCUGAAUGUGAAAUGCAUCCCAAACUCAGAGAAAUGGCUGUAUAAACAGAGACCGGGGGAGAGAUAGAGCCGAGAGCACAGGAACCAAGGGAGACGAGACGAGAGCUGCAGUGUCUAGAUGCCGCAGUGUUCAUGGAGUGGAUAUAUUAUCAUGGAGCUCACUGUCUUCUAUUGACGGGUUCCUAAACUGGAAGAAGUUCCUCCGAGAUCCCUUCAGCAAGAAAGGAGAGAGACACAGCGAGAGAGAGAGCACAAGCAGGGGGAGUGGAAGACGGAGAAGCAGACUCUCCACCGAGCAGGGAGCCCAAUGCUGGGCUUGAUCCCAGGACCCUGGGAUCAUGACUUGGCCAAAGGCAGAUGCCCAACGACUGAGCCACCCAGG